UACGUAGGGUGCGAGCGUUAAUCGGAAUUACUGGGCGUAAAGCGUGCGCAGGCGGUUUUGUAAGACAGAGGUGAAAUCCCCGGGCUUAACCUGGGAAUUGCGAUGGUGACUGCAAGGCUAGAGUUUGGCAGAGGGGGGUAGAAUUCCACGUGUAGCAGUGAAAUGCGUAGAGAUGUGGAGGAACACCGAUGGCGAAGGCAGCCCCCUGGGUCAAAACUGACGCUCAUGCACGAAAGCGUGGGGAGCAAACAGG
rnacentral:rRNA from 1 species